GUAGGGGGCGUCUGCUGACGGAAGUAGGUCACGGGGUCUGGGAAGUCAGGGUUUUUAAGCUUCAUAUCUUCUUCCCUCUGUGCAAAGCCGGUUCGCCUUCGCCAGCUCCGCGGGUUUCCUCUUAAACGGUCGGCUGGAGACUGGACAAGGAGGAGGAGGAAGGCACAAUGCUUACUCGGUGAGGUGACGAAGGCGACAGGGAGACUUACAUUUGUUUUCCUCGACUGGAAUUCAUCUCAGUUUCCAGAGAAAUCUCCACUGCCCUCCCCUCCUUGCCGUUUGGUGUUGCUUAGGGGGAAUCUCAUGGGACUCAACAAACCUUUACGUAGUAGUUUCACAAGAUGGUUAAGAAACACCAGAAAAGAUGGCUAAUAAAGAAAUGACUCUAGUUCCACAACAUGGAAUUGAGAGCUCUCUAGAGAUGACAAGAUGAUGCCUGUGUUUGGUCUUUAUCGCCGUUGGGUUGCUUGGAGCUUCCAGGUCCACACCCCCCACUCAGAUAGAACUUCAUGGACUAAGGCUGAGACAUGCUGGGCCACGACAAAAUGGUGCCCAACGUGGGCCUGAGAACGGGGAAGAAGCCAUGGACACCACGAAGAAACGGGCAAGGCAGAGUCUUGGACACUUCGGAGACAUAGUCGUCGCGGGCGAACCGGUUGGGGAAGAAGCACUCGCAGGAAAAAGAAGAAAGAAGUGGCCGAAUGUGGUGAAUGAACAGCGUUAAGUCAGGAAUAAAACUGUAUAUAAUGGUAGAAAUAGGAAACAGAUAUAUGCAAUAUAAAA